AAGAAAGACUGCGAUACAAAAGUAUUCAUAAAAUCCAAUUUGAGAAAUAAAUGCGUGUAGGAAGUCCAGUGUGUUCUGAAUCUGUCCAUCAAAUUCAGAUGGAUUUUUAGUGUCACACGCAUCUGUGUGUUUUAGAUAUCUGUGGGAAAUAAUGUAAGCAUUGUUUCAUACUGUCUGCUGAAUGUAAUUAACUUCAAAUUAGAGCCCGGUGCCAAGCUGUUUGAUAGUAAUUAGUGAAAGGAGAGAUCCUCUCAGUAUUAGCAAUAUCCCUUGCAUGAGAAAUAAAAAAUGAAGGUGUUUAUGAAAGGUUGUCUUUCAGAUUUAAUAAUAAUGCUGACAAUGAUCUUGAGUAUCUUGUAGCCUUUCCCACCUUCAGAUUGCCUGACAUUACCUUCUUAACUAAUCACAUUUUUAUUCUGAAGUGUUUUCCUCUUCCUGCCAAGGAAAGUGGCUCUGUGUGGACAGCUGAAUGACAAAAGCAGUCGGAAAAAGGAACAUGUGCCUUACCACCAGAAGAGACCGAGUUCUGGGAAGCCGUGAGUCAGAUGAGGAUGUGGUGCCAGGGUGGAUCUGCAGCUGAAGAGUUCAUGGGACCAGGAUGUGGCUGACUCUUCACUGGAAAUGGGGGUGUAUAAUGCCAGACAGACAAUACAGGAGCCAACUGUUCUUGGGACAUAGUCAAGAAUGACCGUCCUUAAUGAAGACUAAUUGGAGGAGUAAAAGCAACCAACCUGCAUUCAUCGAAAGCAAGUCAUACCAGAACAAAGUGAUGACACUUCUUUGCCUGGGUAACCCACUUGAAGGAGAUGAGGGCCGUGCCAGUGUGCUGAGAACAGAGAUGGGAAAUGAAUCAACAUGCGACAAAGCUUGCUGGAACCAGCAAGGAUCUUCCCAUGGGUGUCAGCAAGCUUUCAUUCAGCUCCUUUCAUAGCAGAUUUUCUGAAAGAGCUGAGCUCCCCUACAGGGGCCAGAUUUGCAAAAGAGCAGAGCAGGUGGGAGGCUUCCGGGGAAAAUCUGUUGAUAAAUGCCAAGCAGAAGCAGCAGGGAUCUGAGCUUGCUGGAGGAGCUGAGGAGAUUUCCUGAAGCAUGCUUUCAGAGAUCGGUUCCCACCUACUUUCCCACCAAGCAAGCUGCCAAGAUGUAAUGGCCACUGAGAGCUGCUCUGCAGGCUUGUUUGGGAGAAUGUGUCCAGCAGAGAUUUGUCUACCCUCAGCUCUGCUAAUACACUCCAGUGCCAGAUCACUUUAUUAAUUAUUCCAGCUCUAAACCACACCAGGUCUGCAGUCACCUUCUGGCUCUACUUACUGCACCAAAGACACUCCAUGCAAGCAGAAUUUCCUCAGCACUUCCUUCAGGCUUAAGAGAAGCAUUCUGCAAGCCUGGAUGUGAUAAACUCUGGCACUACACCGCAUGGAGUUGAAGCCAGAUUCAAGCUUGGCAGGAAUCCGCUUAUCACUAUGGGGCAUGUGAACUACAGAGUCAUUAAGGUUGGAAAAGACCACUAAGAUCAUCUAAUCCAGCUGUCAACCCAUCGCCACCAUGCCCACGUGUAACUUAACUGUGCAGCCAUGGAGUCACUGCUGCUAUUCAGGCUCGAAGCCCCAGUUGAACUGGUUCCUUCCAUGGUGGAGUGCAUAUGAUUUAGAGGAGCUCACCUGCCUUUGCACAGCUCUCCCAGGAGAAGAAAUAAGAGAUUUAGCUAGCUCUGCCCUGCUUGCAGAAAUGAGGUUUGCACCACAUUUCUCUGCUGUGAGUACAAGAGCUCAUGUGCCUGCUUUGUGGAGAAAUGCACUUCUGUGCUUUGGAUGCACUAUUUUCCUUGACCUCUGGACUGGAAACCAUUUGUGUGGGUGGGAGUCCAGCCCAACUCUGUAAUUAGGAAAGCUAUUAAUAAUUAGAGAACUUGUUAUCUACCAGAGGAUGGAGAACUACACAUGCUAUCGCAAAAAUAAAUAAAUAAAUAAAUGAUCACCUCCUGUGGAAAGAGCUGUGGUUUGCACAAUGUUUUGAGAAACGUGUAGCUGAUCUGUCAUAAAUCAUGGAUUUCUUUGUUUGCUACACCAUCUUGGAUCAGUCCUGGCCAGCAAUAGGACAGAGCUGACAUUCUUCUGAAGAAAUAGUGGGAUCAUCUCCGUGUACCAGAAGGAAAACCAUACAAAUUACAGUUUAGAUUCUCUUUAUUUCCCUACUAGCUACCAGAACAUCAAGGAAACGCAACGUCUCAGACUUUUCAAACGUGAUAUCUAGGAGCACAUUUUUUUUUUUUUUUUAAGAAAAAAAGGAAAAAAUCCAGGACUGACACCAGAAACUGAAAAUUUCAGGGAGACAAAAACAACGACAAAAAAAUCCGUGAAGAGCUGUGAGGUUCAUAAUCACAAGGAGCAAUAAUCGCAAGAGAUAGCGAUAAUGGCAACGCUGCUGCCAGAGCCAGCAGGGCAGCAGAGGCUCAGCAGGCAGGGCUUGCCCUGGUGCCCUUCACCGGUCUUUUUUACUGGCUCAUUAAGUAGAACCGUUGCAAAAAGAAGAGAGUCAAAAUUGGUUUCCCCUCAGAAAGUCAGUUUAACAGAAUUAUCCACCCACAAAUAAGUGUCAAAACAAAUCUUUCCACCUUGCCCAGCUUGCUCCGAUAAUGUCAAGUCAGUGCAUCUCAGUCCUCCUGAUAAUUUGUUCCAGUGACAUAAAAUGCUGCUUCACAACUUUGUUUCAUUCCAUUUUAGCUUUAUUACAGACAAAUUAACAUUCAUUUUCGUUUUAAUGGACCUUACCAUUUGCAGCAUUAAUAUUUUGGAUUCAGUAUUUUUAAAGCCAAGUGUGCUCUGACUCUUUUGCUGUUUGCUGUUUCAGCAUUGCUGGAAGUAAAUGUCAAUCAACAUUAUUGCAAAUGGCAUGUUUGUCCAGCACUAAGAUGGGCUGAAAAUUUCAGAAAGAGAGCUUUUUAUUAAAAUCUCAGCUUUUUUUUAACUAUCUGUUCUAUUUUUGUAUAAAACCAGAGUUUGGAAUUUCCAGAACCUGCAGUGUGGUGAAAGAUCUAUUUUUUCCUACCAUUCAUUUUCAAAUGCAGACAGAUGCUAAUGACUUUACUUUCAAAGGUCUUCAAUUAAUUACCAUGUUGAUACUCAUUUAACAAGAUUUUCUGGCCCGCACCUGUUCCCCUGUACAAGACUUUGCCUUCCCACCAUCAUCCUGAUCCCCUCUCUCAGGCUCUCUGCUUGUCACUGCUACAUAAAUUACUUUCCACUUUCAGAGUGAAAGGGCAAACAGUGCUAUCAUGAUAAGAAACCCAAGAACAAGGAGUUGCUUUUGGGGCUUGCAGGGUG